UUUCGCAUCGAAUGGAUCUAG
rnacentral:piRNA from 1 species